rnacentral:rRNA from 1 species
UACAGAGGUCCCGAGCGUUGUUCGGAUUCAUUGGGCGUAAAGGGUGCGUAGGCGGUCUUCUAAGUUUGAUGUGAAAUCCCGGGGCUCAACCCUGGAAUUGCAUUGAAUACUGGAGGACUAGAGUACCGGAGAGGAAACUGGAAUUUACGGUGUAGCAGUGAAAUGCGUAGAGAUCGUAAGGGAAGACCGUGGCGAAGGCGAGUUUCUGGGACGGUAACUGACGCUGAGGCACGGAAGGGCCAGGGGGAGCAAAACGGGG